rnacentral:rRNA from 1 species
AUAUAACUAAGCGGAGGAAAAGAAACUAACAAGGAUUCCCUCAGUAACGGCGAGUGAACUGGGAAGAGCUCAACUUGGUAAUCGGUGUCAACACCGAAUUGUAGUCUAGAGGGGUCUUGCCAGGUGCUCAGCGCGGUUAACUCUACCACUGAACGGUGGAUCAAAGAGGGUGACAAUCCCGUCGCCGCGCUGGAAUCCGUACGGCUGGCUUCCGCAGAGUCGAGCUGCUUGAGAGUGCAGCUCUAACUGGGUGGUAAAUUCCAUCUAAAGCUAAACAUCAGCAAGAGACCGAUAGCGCACAAGUA